UACGUAGGUGGCGAGCGUUAUCCGGAAUUACUGGGCGUAAAGCGCACGCAGGCGGCUUUCUAAGUUUGACGUGAAAGCUCCCGGCUUAACUGGGAGAGGUCGUUGAAUACUGGAAGGCUUGAGGCAAUGAGAGGGGUGUAGAAUUCCCGGUGUAGUGGUGGAAUGCGUAGAUAUCGGGGGGAAUACCAGUGGCGAAAGCGGCACCCUAGCGUUGUUCUGACGCUCAUGUGCGAAAGCGUGGGGAGCGAACGGGAUUAGAUACCCCGGUAGUCCACGCUGUAAACGAUGAACACUAGGUGUAGGUGAUGUGAAAGUUAUCUGUACCGAAGCCAACGCGUUAAGUGUUCCGCCUGGGGAGUACGGCCGCAAGGCUAAA
rnacentral:rRNA from 1 species